AGAAGAAUAACACAAAUCAAUGAAAAUAAGUGAUGGAAUGGAACUUUCAACUCUACCCAUGUACCAAGAGUGUUUGCUUUAGUGUUUUUUUCAAUCAAAUUGUAUCAAGUAGAGCAUUUCUGGUUUUGGAGUUUCAUUGGUCUCUUUCUCUCUUUCCACACAUUACGAUUUGAUUUGAAAAAUAUAAAGCAAAUAACUAAGGAUUUCACCUAUGUUUUCUUAAUAUUCACCUAUCUAAUCAAAACUUAAAAGGGUUAUGGCAUUUGCUAGAUUUUGCACCAUUUGUUAACAUUCAUCUUUACUAUAUCCUUACAAAUUUUGUUGAUCAUAAUUCUAACAGCCUUGCAUCUUUUAACAUAAUAAAAGCAUGAAUAGCACCUCCCGAACCAAAUCUUAUACUUUGGCAUUAGUAGUUUUAACAUCUGCACUAUCCAAAUGCCGAUAGAAGGUUGCAUUCACCAACAACAUAAAUUAUUUAGACAUAGAAACCCUUAGACAAUGAAAUGUAAUAAACUUUUUAGUUCCAUCAAUCUAGUCAACAUUUCCACAUUAUGAGAAGCAGUCGCAUCUCACGCUUUAAUUGGAACCACUUUAUAGUGUCAGGAUCUUCCAGAGCAAACCAGUUCUACGAAAUUCUUUUUGAAUAGAAAUACUAUGCUGGCUAAGAGAGCAUGCCAUAUACAGUACUUUCUUCAUCUUCUUAAGCAAAAAUAUAUUUCUAUCAAAUGGACAGACAACAGACUUCCACGAAUAGAAGAAAUGCAUAAAAACCUAAUUAGAAUACAGUGCUCCAUCUGUCAUGUGAGCAAGCUGUCAAAAUCUGAUCCCAAAAAGCUAGAAUGACAGAAUUAAUCAUCUAUUUCAUCCCAAAGAUCUAAAAUCUUCAGCAACCUCAAGCAUUGUACUUAUUUACAUAACUCUUUUCUAACUUAAAUAUGACACAAUAACAAAAA